ensembl:snRNA U1 U1 spliceosomal RNA
AAAAAUCUCUCCCUACCAUGAUCACGAAGGUGGUUUUCCCAGGGUGAGCUUAUCCAUUGCACUGGAUGUGCUGGCCCUUGUGAUUUCCCAAAUGUGGGAAACUCAACCAUAUAGUUUGUGGUAGUGGGUGACUGCAUUCACACUCUCCCU